rnacentral:rRNA from 1 species
UACGGGGGGGCAAGCGUUGUUCGGAAUCACUGGGCGUAAAGCGCACGUAGGCGGAUUGCUAAGUCAGGGGUGAAAUCCUGGAGCUCAACUCCAGAACUGCCUUUGAUACUGGCGACCUUGAGUCCGGGAGAGGUGAGUGGAACUGCGAGUGUAGAGGUGAAAUUCGUAGAUAUUCGCAAGAACACCAGUGGCGAAGGCGGCUCACUGGCCCGGUACUGACGCUGAGGUGCGAAAGCGUGGGAGCAACAGG